rnacentral:rRNA from 1 species
CGCGUAGGCGGUGGGUUACGUCUGCCGUGAAAUCCCCGGGCUCAACCUGGGAAUGGCGGUGGAAACGGGCUGACUAGAGUAUGGGAGAGGGUGAUGGAAUUCCAGGUGUAGCGGUGAAAUGCGUAGAGAUCUGGAGGAACAUCAGUGGCGAAGGCGGUCACCUGGCCCAAUACUGACGCUGAGGCGCGAAAGCGUGGGGAGCAAAACAG